AGUGAACGCUGGCGGUAGGCCUAACACAUGCAAGUCGAACGGCAGCACAGUAAGAGCUUGCUCUUACGGGUGGCGAGUGGCGGACGGGUGAGGAAUACCUCGGAAUCUACUUUUUCGUGGGGGAUAACGUAGGGAAACUUCCGCUAAUACCGCAUACGACCUACGGGUGAAAGCAGGGGAUCUUCGGACCUUGCGCGAUUGAAUGAGCCGAUGUCGGAUUAGCUAGUUGGCGGGGUAAAGGCCCACCAAGGCGACGAUCCGUAGCUGGUCUGAGAGGAUGAUCAGCCACACUGGAACUGAGACACGGUCCAGACUCCUACGGGAGGCAGCAGUGGGGAAUAUUGGACAAUGGGCGCAAGCCUGAUCCAGCCAUACCGCGUGGGUGAAGAAGGUCUUCGGAUUGUAAAGCACUUUUAUUGGGAAAGAAAAGCAGUAGGUUAAUACCCCGCUGUUCUGACGUUACCCAAAGAAUAAGCACCGGCUAACUUCGUG
rnacentral:rRNA from 1 species